AACCAGCAUGGCCAAGGGUCAUGGUGGUGGUCAUGGUCAUGGUCAUGGAGGUGGUCAUGGAGGUGGAAAGGGUCAUGGCGGCAAAGGUCAUGGUGGUGGCCAUGGGGGCAAGGGACACGGAGGCCAUGGUGGCGGACACGGGGGCAAAGGACAUGGAGGCGGCCAUGGAGGAAAGGGGCACCAUGGAUAAACAUAGCAGCUGAAAGAUGUGUCACGAGAAAGCCCUUGUUUUUUAUUCCACUGCUGCUGGACAACAGGGAAACCACAACUCAUGUAAAACAUGAUGAUCUUGUAUUUUGUUUGACCAGACCUCUGAAUAAAAAUACACUCCAAAGUGUUAAAUCUGAUUACA
rnacentral:lncRNA from 1 species